rnacentral:lncRNA from 1 species
CCUCGAGCUUCCCAAGCAGAUCAUGUAUGGUGGAAUUGUGAUACUCUUCUUCAGUCAACAAAGAGCUUCACAAGAAUACCAAUGCACAAUCCAAACCACUCAGAUUAAGCCCACGUUUGGUUGGGUGUUUUUAGAGGUUGGAAAGGGAAUCAAGUAAUUGAAUCCAUUACUUGUUGUUUGGUUUGGGUAAUGAGAUAAUCAUUACCCUUACUUAAGGGUAACCCAAUCACCCAAUUUGUUACCCCUCAAAAUAGAGGGGAAACAAAAGAAAGGGAUUCCCUUACUAAUGAUUCAUUUUCAUUGUUAAACCAAACACUCAAUAAAAGUAAUGGUUAUUGUUACCAUUCCACUCCUUUAUUUGAUUCCAUUCCCUUUCCAUUCCUCUACUUGAACCAAACGAGCACUAAUACCAAAACAUAUUCUCAGUCAUUUCUCAACCAAAACGACCUUCCAUUUACUCAAUCCCUUUAACGAAGCAAACAAAUUUCCAAAACCAUACUUUUUCACAUAUAACACCAAAAUACCUAUUUAAUUGUUAAAUUGAAAGUCUUAUUACUACUUUCAUCUGUUUAUAAAGACAAGGAAAAACAUGCAAUUGAUAAAGUAAAACCAAAUAUUCUGUCCUGCAAGUUAGAACUUACUUGUAAGAUUCUAAUGGUGAUGCAAAUUGAAACUUUGUUGUGUUAUAUGAUAUGCUCAACAUUCUUUCAUUGGUGUGCCUUUUUCCAUUGCCCUUGUUGCUGGGAUUGGGUUCAACUUCCACAACUUCCAUCUUCAAUAUUGUUGUCUGAAUUUUUGUCAUCAUCCUUCUCUUCAGAGUCAACAACUACGCUGUCGUCGUUCUUCGCCACGAGCAAGCUCGUUAGCGCCACUAAUUGAGGCUGCCUCGCCUCCAUGCUCCUCAGAAGCUCCCCUAUCUCUGCCAUGGCUUUAAAAUCAUACUCACUCAAGGGCAGUAAUGUUUGGAGUUAAAACAAUAACAGAUAGUUCAAGUUUGAUGGGAUGUAACUAACAAUAAACAAACUGCAAUAAGGCUGGAGGCUGGAUAUAAUGAAAUAAAAUUAAUAGCUUUUUGAAGAAAAAAUCAUAAAAACAGAACAAUAGACACAUGCAUGAGAGAUUGGCAUUUAGUUCUACAGAAAUUAUAUUAAUGGAUCUCAUAUAUCCUCAUGUCAUCUUGAAAUUUAUUUGAUUCUAUUAGAAAAUCUAUAACAAAGCUCAAAAUGGCUCAAUAAGAGCUUGACAGAUACUCAAAAUGCCCCUCUAAAUCCACCUGAAAAUUAGACAACAAAUCAGCCAAGAACUAAGGGAUUAAACUUCAUAUUACCUCUUUUCCCAGAACAAGAUAAUUUAGAUUUUCAUCGUUUCUAUUUGUAUAUGAUUUUAGACAUCUCCCCAACAAAAUCCCAGUUUAUUAGCAAAUAUUUUGAAGCCAUUUCUGAAGAUUCCACAACAGCAUUCUUGACUUCAUUGCUGACACAUGCUUUUGCAGUACCCUUGAUCAUGGGAUUAUUGUGGAAACGUUGAAGAGCCUCCAAUACUUCAAAUCCAACAAAAACUAAUUCUUGCUACAAGGAGAAGGUGUAAAUUGGUUAAAAGUGGUAGUGCCUACACCUUUNAAAACAAAGCUCAAAAUGGCUCAAUAAGAGCUUGACAGUUACUCAAAAUGCCCCUCCAAAUCCACAUGAAAAGUAGACAAGAUAUGAGGUACAAGAUUCACAUUAGCCAAGAAAAGUAAUACCACUUUUGUGUCUAUGGGCAUAAAUAGUGUUGUGAAUCCUUAGUUUAGAAGUGAUCUACUCAAAAUAAUUCCUUAUAAUGAUCAAUGAAGUUUGAGUCUUUGAGAAUUAUAUCGAUUGUGAAACAAAUUGGUAUCCAAACAUGCAUCUUCUUCAACCCUCGACAUAAUAAUCCUAUCAACUAAAGUUCAACAAAGAAUGGAGUAUAUGGAAUUACAAAAAAAAAAAAUGAAAAUAAGUUGACCAAGUCAUCAUGGAGAAAAUGGAUACUCACUUAUUCCUUCUUCACUUGCUUCACCUCCUAAUUCUUUAGAGGCACCUCAAAAUCAACUCAUUUCACUUUCCUCUGUUUCACUUUGUUCCCUUUCACUUUCUUCAGAAUCAGCUGUAUCAACAACACAAAGAAGAAUUCAUGGAAAAAAGUUGAAUUGA